AUUUUUUAGUACUCUAUAAAGAAGGACCACCUUUCUUUCACGCAUCUUAUAUUGUCAUAGUCGAAGUAGCAAAUGCAGACUCCUUAGUUAUAGAUUCUACUCUAUCUACAAGAUCCACAUGGAACAGUUUGUUUGGAUUGCAAAGGCUCUCCGAAAACGCUGCCAAGGAGAUACUCUUUGCGCAAGUUUUAUGGCCAUCAUCGGUACCGCGGGAUAUCAGUACAACUAGCCCCGAAAUACUCUCCGAAUUCACAGUGAGAGAAUUACUUUGGCGUCGAUGGAAUCCGAAGCAGCACCGUGAAGACGUCCCCACCGAGGAUGAGGAUUCAUGUUGAAGGUUUUUUUUAAAUAUUUAUAUUUUAGAAAUUCUCACACAACAAAUUCGCUCUACUUAUAUAUAUUUUAUUUCAUAUAUUAACUUUUUUACCGCACUGCGGUAAUAUUACGCUUGUAUAUAUGUAUAAUUUUUUUUACGAGAACUUUGUAUAUAUACAUAUUGCAAAUUAAAAGGCAGAUUACAUGUAAUCGUAUCUCAUCAUGAUAUGGUAAGAAAAGUUUCUUCUUAAAAUAAAUUCGCAAUUCUCCUCAA